GGUUCGUUAGUGUAGUGGUUAUCACGUCUGCUUUACACGCAGAAGGUCCUGGGUUCGAGACCCAGACGAACCU